AUUGAGCGCUGGCGGCAGGCUUAACACAUGCAAGUCGAGCGGAGCGAGGGUGCUUGCACCUUAGCUUAGCGGCGGACGGGUGAGUAAUGCUUAGGAAUCUGCCUAUUAGUGGGGGACAACAUUUCGAAAGGAAUGCUAAUACCGCAUACGUCCUACGGGAGAAAGCAGGGGAUCUUCGGACCUUGCGCUAAUAGAUGAGCCUAAGUCGGAUUAGCUAGUUGGUGGGGUAAAGGCCUACCAAGGCGACGAUCUGUAGCGGGUCUGAGAGGAUGAUCCGCCACACUGGGACUGAGACACGGCCCAGACUCCUACGGGAGGCAGCAGUGGGGAAUAUUGGACAAUGGGCGCAAGCCUGAUCCAGCCAUGCCGCGUGUGUGAAGAAGGCCUUAUGGUUGUAAAGCACUUUAAGCGAGGAGGAGGCUACUUUAGUUAAUACCUAGAGAUAGUGGACGUUACUCGCAGAAUAAGCACCGGCUAACUCUGUGCCAGCCGCCGCCGUAAAAC
rnacentral:rRNA from 1 species